rfam:Xenopus tropicalis strain Nigerian Chr03_contig_3557, whole genome shotgun sequence.
ACCAGGAUGGCCGAGUGGUUAAGGCGUUGGACUUAAGAUCCAAUGGAUGUUUAUCCGCGUGGGUUCGAACCCCACUCCUGGUA